UAUCUUGCGCCAUGGAGGGAACCCUGACGCAGCGACGCCGCGUGAGCGCUGAAGGUUUUCGGCUCGUCCGGCUCUUUCCUUGGGGCGGAAGGUCUUCGCUCUUGACGGUACCUAAGGCGGAAGCCGCGGCUAACUACGUGCCAGCAGCCGCGGUAAUACGUAGGGGGCAAGCGUUGUCCGGAAUUAUUGGGCGUAAAGGGCGCGUAGGCGGCCUAAUAAGUCAGAUGUGAAACCCCCGGGCUUAACCCUGGGCUUGCAUUUGAAACUGUUGGGCUUGAGGACAGGAGAGGAAAGCGGAAUUCCCAGUGUAGCGGUGAAAUGCGUAGAUAUUGGGAGGAACACCAGUGGCGAAGGCGGCUUUCUGGACUAUAACUGACGCUGAGGCGCGAAAGCCAGGGUAGCGAAC
rnacentral:rRNA from 1 species